AGUGCAAGGAUAGGGGUCUAGAGUUGGGGGGCUGAGUGCAGGGGGCUCCAGAUGCAGGGGUUGAGGUUCAGUGGGCUGGGGUUCAGGUAUGGACAGCUAGGGGGGUUCUGGAUUUACCAGGUGAGGC